rnacentral:rRNA from 1 species
GACGAACGCUGGCGGCGUGCUUAACACAUGCAAGUCGAACGGAAAGGCCUGCUUUCCCUUGUGGAUUGCGGGUACUCGAGUGGCGAACGGGUGAGUAACACGUGAGUGAUCUGCCCCCAACUUGGGUAUAAGCCUGGGAAACUGGGUCUAAUUCCCGAUAGGACUGCAGGGUGGUGCCUGUGGUGGAAAACGAUUUUCUAGUGGUUGGGGAUGAGCUCGCGGCCUAUCAGCUUGUUGGUGGGGUAAUGGCCUACCAAGGCGGCGACGGGUAGCCGGCCUGGGAGGGUGGACGGCAACAUUGGGACUGAGAUACGGCCCCGACUCCUACGGGAGGCAGCAGUGGGGAAUAAUGCACAAUGGGCGGAAGCCUGAUGCAGCGACGCCGCGUGGGGGAUGACGGCCUUCGGGUUGUAAACUCCUUUCGACCGCGAGGAAGCCACCUGGUUGGAAGGGUGGUGACGGUAGUGGUAGAAGAAGCACCGGCUAACUACGUG